UUAAAAAUGAAUAUUUGAAUAUCCAUUUGUGUACAUUCAAAUGUUUGGAGCCUGGUUUGGAGUGUCAAUCCACCGUAAAGCAAGAAGAAGAAGACGCGUCACGGGCCGGCUGUUGUGAACGAGCUCAGGACAGUUGGACUGAGUGGCGGAUCAGAGAAACAAAGACACCUACAUCCUGGAUGCCCUUGGAACCCUCACUGUCUCAGUGUUCCGGCCUUCAGGACAGAAGCAGUCAUCCAUAAACCACAUCGUCUAGAUCUUUAUUUAUUUUGCCACCAAUCAACUCUGAGCAGCCUGCCGGACAGCUGCAGCAAGUGAAGUCACUUUACGCUCAUUAGCAUGGACAAGAGAUGAGACCCUAGACACACACACACACACACACACACACACACACAACACAGAUUCUCUCCUUCCACCCAUUUAUGAGUGUGUCGUGUCUGUGCAUGUAGCACUAAGGAGCUCCAGAAACGUCUCUCCAGAUUUCAAUUGUGGGUUGGCAUUCUUAUGUUUGCAUAUAUAUUUAUGGUCUCAGAUAUUUUAAUGUUUUAAUGGAUACAGGUUUGACUUCCCAGGAGGGAGCGAACAACUUCAACACACACUUAUACAUGAAAAUGAAGGAAGGAAAAUUUGAGCAUAGGAGAAGGAAAGUGGAGGAGAUGAGAUGAGAGGAGAACAGAUGGUACGUGGUGGGAUAACUCAUAAAAACCGCUUUUUACCAUUGCAAAACUAACUUUCCAAACAAAAAAGUACCAUAAAUCAUACUAUGGUAUUGUGACAGUACUUUACUUUAUAUACCAAGGUAAUGAAUGACUAACAUGGUAUAUUGCAAAAAAUACGUGAAAUGUGAAAUUACCAUGUUAGUCUGAAAAACAUGUACUUUUAUUUCUUAUAAGCAUAAAUGAAAAAGCUAACAAGAAUAUAGAGACAUAUGUUCUUGAGACACCUUGCAGGUUCAUCUUGAGCAGAACAUGAGCAGAAAAUUGGAUUUCAUGAAAAUUCUAUUUUAAAUAUGAAAGUUUAUCCUCAGAGUGUGUGGAGAGAAUAAAAAAACCUAAAGGAGCGAUGAGGUGAGCACGGGUAUGAAAGCAAUAAGAGAGAGGAGGGAGAGAUGGUUAGAGGAUAAAAGGGAAUUGUGGGGCGGAAAAGUGAGAUACGAAAGGCUUGUCAAGUGGAGGGGAGAGAUGCAGGGCUGUGUGUUAGUUCCUCUUCAUUUGCUCUCUGUAUGUGGUGUAGAGGUCAGGCUGAGAGCUGGGACUCGGGCCAUGAAGGAGAGAGCAAAGACAGCCUUAGGCAGGAAUACACUCACCCUGUACACACUAAUGUUCUGUCUAUAUAUUCCUCUAUCGCAUAAACAUACACUCUGUUUAUGCUAAUGUUCUCUUUCUCUGUCUUAAGACACAUUUACAUGUUGAUAUUUGGAAUAUAUGGGAUUAAUAUAUUACUGUAUCAGUGUUAAAGAAAAGAAAGACCUUUGAAUAGCUAGCUUAAAACAGUUGCCAAGUUCUUAGACAUGUCAGUUAUAUAUGGUACACAUAUUAAUCAUUCUCAAAAAGUUUUUAAAUAGCACAGUCAUGCAGGGAUCCUCUUUCUGAUAUAACAUCAUCUGUUU